AGCGAACGCUGGCGGCAGGCUUAACACAUGCAAGUCGAGCGGGCAUCCUUGUGGUGUCAGCGGCAGACGGGUGAGUAACGCGUGGGAACGUGCCCUUCGGUUCGGACUAACUCAGGGAAAAUUGAGCUAAUACCGGAUACGUUCGCGAGCAGGAAGGGUUAUCUGCUGAAGGAUCGGCCCGCGUCUGAUUAGCUAGUUGGUGAGGUUACGGCUCACCACGGCGACGAUGAGUAGCUGGUCUGAGAGGAUGAUCAGCCACACUGGGACUGAGACACGGCCCAGACUCCGACGGGAGGGAGCAGUGGGGAAUACUAGACGAGGGGGGCAACCCUGGUCAAGCCACGCCGCGUGAGUGAUGCCUGCCUUAGGGUUGUAAAGCUCUUUUCUCCGGGACGAUAAUGACGGUACCGGAGGAAUAAGCCCCGGCUAACUUCGUG
rnacentral:rRNA from 1 species